UGAUACAGUGUGAUUAUGGCAGAUCAAAAUGGCAGACAAUGCUCAAGGAAAUGCAGAAUGGUUCAUUGUUAGCUGAGGGGAAGGUGACAACGAGGCGCACAAACAGUAAAAUUAAUCAGGAGGACAGUGAAACUAGGUGGAACUGU